rnacentral:rRNA from 1 species
AUUGAACGCUGGCGGCAGGCCUAACACAUGCAAGUCGAACGAGUCGCGUACGGUUGAGUAAUGUCUCUACACUGCCUGAUGGCGGGGGAUCACUACUGGAACCGGUAGCUAAUACCGCAUACCAUCAGAUUUGCCCAGAUGGGAUUAGCUGGUUGGUGGGGUAACGGCUAACCAAGGGGACGAUCCCUAUCUGGUCUGAGAGGAUGUCCAGCCACACUGGAACUGAGACACGGUCCAGAGUCCUACGGGAGGCGGCAGUGGGGAAUAUUGCACAAUGGGCGCAAGCCUGAUGCAGCCAUGCCGCGUGUAUGAAGAAGGGCUUCGGGUUGUAAAGUACUGUCAGCGGGGAGGCGUUAUCAGAAGAAGAAGCCCCGGCUAACUCCGUGCCAGCAGCCGCGGUAAUUC